AGCUUUGCACAGUGGCAGUAUCAUAGCCAAUGAGUUUUAUCCGAGGCCUGAUUAUAGGUAAUUGAAAACUUUAUGCACCUCAAAACACUGGCCCUCUAGAAAUGUCUAGGGGGUACCUGAGUCCUAUAUCCAUCCUUUUUAUAG